UGCUCGACGAUCGCGAUGUCGUUGAAGUCGCUGAGGUCGCCUCCUUGCCCGGCGCGCCCGAUCUCUUUCCUUGUUUGUUUAUUUGCGCGCGAGACUCGUGUCGAGAUCGAUAUCGCUGUGGAUUUAUCGCGCGUCACUCCAAGGGGGAUAUCGCUUUGACCAAAAAGAAGAGGAAGAAAGAUCGAUGGGAGACGACGCAGCCCGCGGACUUCAGCCACAGCAUCAAUGAUCUCGGGCGUGACUGACAGACAACAACGAUGUGAGAUCAUCCACGAGCGUCACAGUGAGAGAUUGUUUAUAACGCUGUCGCAAUUAAGUUUUCAGACCGUAGCACUAGUGAAUCAAUCAUAUAGGUAUCUAUUUCCUUCGAGCGAACUCAUGAGGAGUGAAAAGUUUUAUCGAGUUUGUCAAUGAAACUUUUCAUUCUCUUCACGAAAUUUACGCGAAGGAAACAGACACAUGAUCGAUGCGCAGACUAGUUCUACCUGAGAACGUAACUGCGAGCGCAUUGUAGACGAUCCCUGCGAGUCACCGAUGUUGACUCGCCCGAGGGAAACGCACGGAGGAAAUUGGCACUCGACGUCGACGCGUUUGAUUCGGCGAAAGGUAGGUCCACCACCGUAGACGCAGUAAUUCCCGACGAAUUCGUUUAAUGAGUCAGACGUCGUGGGCGAUGAUCUCUUCUUUUUCCCCAUAGAGUGACUUCACUCGCACGCAAUGAGCCUCCGUGGAAAUUAUGACACGUAACUGCACGAUCGACCUUGACCGUCGGGUCACCGAGUCAUCGAAAUUCCAACGAAUUGGAUUAAUUUACAUCGCGCUCAAAUAAUCGGAACAGCGAUAAGUAGACAAUCGUAUCGCUGUCCGAUAUCGGCGCUCUAUUCUUCUUUGUUGCGGAGAUAUCGAAAUUAAAAAUAAGAUACGCAAAAACAACGAACAAUCCGACAAUCUGAACGACGGCGGUGUUCCGUAAAAAAACCCAAUUUCCCUCGCGUUCCGCUUAUCUGCGCGAACACGAAGGUGUCGCAUGACUCGUACUUCGUCAUAAAAAAAUAAUAAUCUCUUCUACGUAUUAUGUGAGUCGUCUCUUCGCUUGCAGCCCGCCCGUAAACGAUCUUCCUCGUCGAUCCAUAGGUACUGCUUAUCGCGCUCCUGUAUCGUAUAACUUUUUUUUACGGUGCAAUUAACGUUUGACGUUAGGUUGCGUCGUUGCGCGUUGAUUAAACAGGCUCCUGCGAGGAUGCACCGGCAGCUUCCGUUCUAACGAAACACCAUACGGUAGCUCGUAUCGACAAGUAAGAUGUCCGGAUGACCUUAGCGGACACAAAAUUUCAUCGUGUCUGCCCGACCGAUCGUUGGCGCGCGCAAUCACACCCAUGCGAGAAUAUAUCGAGGCGUAAAUAUUUAUCAACAAUAUUUGUAUCAACUUACAUUCUAAGUGAGCGAUUCUAGGCACGCGGACGUAACAAAAAUACUCGUUUCGUGGAUCUCCGUCGGUUCGCUUUUACGCAACGUUAGGAUGGGAGAAGUGAUACUACGUGCUGCAAGAGGAUUGUCGUUGAUACAAGGACGGACUGGAUGAAGGCUGGAGGAUCAUCGGUAUCAUUUGUCUCAACUGGAAAGAUCGAGAAAAAGAAUAUAUAAACAUUAUAUAUUUUGUAUCAUCAAUAAAUUUAUAAUAAGCAUCGUGAGAAGCAUCGUAACAAGGCUUAACAUCGUGAGAACACGUCCAUAAAACGAAAUUUUCUUUUUUUUUACGAGAGAAGGCCACCUGUAUGAAUACUGGUCGUUAAUCAUUGUGCGCUUCGAUAAUUAAGUCUCAAAAGUGAUAUGUUCUUUGCUCCCAAUUUACACAGACGAUAUACGUGUUUAUAUAUGUAUGUGUGUGUGUGUUUGUGUGUCUGUGUGUGUACACAUAUAUAUAUAUAUAUAGAUAUAUAUAUUAAAAAUUACAUUAUUCACAAUCACGUUUGUUCCAGAGCUUUACAACCCAUACAUUCUUCAGCAUGUGUGACUUAUCCUAAGAGAGGCAUCGACAAUAAGAACAACACCUGGUCUCCUCCCACCUUUGGUACAACGCUAUCAUUGUGGAGCUUUCGUGGAGUUGUCAGAGGAGUCCGCACUUGGCAUAAGUAAAGCUAUUGCAAAUAUUGGAGAAAGUGUCACUCGCACGAGCCUGCUCGACCGACGAAUAUCUACAGCGUUCUUUUACAAGAAGACACAGAGAUUUCGGGUGUGCGUAGGACUACAAGCACGCGAAGAAACACGAUUCUCGGAGAAUCAUGAAACGGAGAACCAUCCUUUAAACGGUAUGACGCGCUAAACAAUAUUGCUCUGCGAUAACUUUCAUAUUGUACAAUGCUAGUCUCACUUACCUACG